CUACCGAUCAUUGUAUUUUGCAGCUUCUUAUAUGGCUUAGAUUAUUGUAUCAUUACAGUACAUUUUUUUGUUACAGAUUACUGUAGUGCUUAUGGUGUAAAGAUUCUUUGAGUUCACUUCCUCUGGUUUUCAUCAAACGUUUUUAAAAGAGGUUAAAACGAAGCAGGGAUUCUCUAAAAUCCAAACACAGGUUUCUCUGCUGGAGACGUCAAUGAAGAAUUUCAGGUUCUCGUUAUUGGUAUAAAUACACAUAGUGCCUGUGUAAAGUCAGGUAAGGUGUUUUGCAGUGAUGUUCAACAUGCACAGGAUCCGUCCAGGUAAAUGGCCUGUCUCUUUAAGUCAACCUGUGAGUUUGAGAGUCGCAGAGAUACGCUCUGUCAUAAACCGACAUCACUUGGGUUUCGAGGAAAGAAAUAUAGAGG